rnacentral:misc_RNA from 1 species
GUGAAUCAUCAAAUCUUUGAACGCAAAUUGCACUCUCUUCGGAGAUUAUGCCUGUUUGAGGGUCAGCGUAAUAAAAACCGACAUAGUUGCUGUUUUGCGGUGACAUUCGUCGGAACUUCAGCUAUUUUAAACCUGUGGGUUUUACGUGUCUUACUAUUUUCUUAACGAUUUCACGUAUGUUUCUAGGAUAUACUUACAGGU